rnacentral:tRNA from 1 species
GAGGGUGUUGCUCAGUGGUAGAGUGCCUGCCUAUCACGCAUGAGGUCAUGGGUUCAAUCCCCUUACCUCCA